rnacentral:lncRNA from 1 species
AGUAUAGUUGAUUUACAAUGUUGUGCUGACUUCUGUUAUAUGCAGUCACUCAGUCAUAUAUAUAUACAUUCACAUAUAUAUGCACAUAUGCACAUUCUUUUUUAAAUAUAUAUUGUUACUAUUAUUAUUAUUAUUUGUCUUUUAGGGCCAUGCCCAUAGCAUAUGGAAGUUCCCAGGCUAGGGGCUAUGAAUUGGAGCUGGAACCACCAGCCUACAGCACAGCCAUAGCAACACCAGAUCCGAGCUGUGUUUGUGAUCUAUACCACAGCUUAUGGCAACGCUGGAUCCUUAACCCAGAGCAGGGCUAGGGAUUGAACCUGCGUCCCUCAUGGAUACUAGUUGGGUUCGUCACUGCUAAGCCAUAAUGGGAAAUCCUGCUUAUCCAUUUUAAAUGUAAUAGGUCACACCUAUUAACCCCAAACUACCAGUCCAUCCCUCUCCCCCCACCCCCACUGGCAACCACAAGUCUGUUCUCUAGGUCUGUGAGUCUGUUUUUAUUUUGUCAGAUAGGAUUAUUUCUGUCAUAUUUUAGAUUCCACAUAGAGAUGAUAUCAUAUGGUAUUUGUCCUUCUCUGACUGACUUCGCUUAGUAUGAGCAUCUCUAGUUGCAUUCAAAAAUGACAUUUUUGAAUCACACUGCAAAUUGCCUUUUGAAGUAAGUUCUGGAAAAAAAACCAAACUUUUUCUGGACCAUACCAGAUAGAUUUCUAGGAGAUAGGAUAUCCCUUUGGUUUGUGAAAUCAACUUGAGUGAGAAAUAAAGUAAUAUAAAAGAACACAUCAUUCACAUGAAAGCUUUUUUCUUACGGACUCUUUAUCAACCUCCACUAGGACACAGUUAUUAGAAUAACUUAAGGGAGUUCCCGUCGUGGCGCAGUGGUUAACGAAUCCGACUAGGAACCAUGAGGUUGCGGGUUCGAUCCCUGCCCUUGCUCAGCGGGUUGGCGAUCCGGUGUUGCCGUGAGCUGUGGUGUGGGUCGCAGACGCGGCUCGGAUCCUGCGUUGCUGUGGCUUUGGCGUAGGCUGGCAGCUGCAGCUCCGAUUCGACCCCUAGCCUGGGAACCUCCAUAUGCUGUGAGAGCGGCCCAAGAAAUAGCAAAAAGACAAAAAAAAAAAAAAAAAAAAAAGAGUAACUUAAGGAAAAUAAACUCAAUGAACUCAAAGUAAGAUGAAAGCAUUGCAAAUACAAUCUCCUCUAUGAUUCUGAAAUUUCUUGGGAAUUCAUGUAAGUUUUUUUAAUCAACUCUGAUAGUAUUAUACACUAUAUAAAAGAAAUCCCAGUUCAUUAGCGAUUCCGCUCAUGUUGCCAUUUCAGAGUCCACACAAGGAGGCCAAGUAUUAAUUUGGUGCGGCAGACAUUUACCCAGCACCUUCUAGUUGCUUGUCACUGUCCUAGGUGCUGGGAGAAUGGGAAAUGAAUAGAACACAGAGUUCGUACCUGCCUCUGGGCACUGAUAACAAAACAAAGGACGGGGCAUUGGAGGGUGAUGGGAACGCCAACACCUUCAUUUCCGCUUUCCCUGGAGGGAAUGCUCAGGGCUUUGCAAAGGUGGGAACUCUCGAGCUGCUCUUUUCAGAGUGGGUAGAAUUGCAUCCAGUGCAAAGUGGGGGCAGGGAAAUGCAAAAGCACAGAAGAUUAUAUACAGAAAACACACAGAAUAAGUUCUGUGCAUAUGGAAUGUAAAGAAGAAUGCCAUAGAAUCAAUAUUUAUGGGACACUCAGACAAUAGGGAUUUACCCCAAAUCUCUCAAACUGCUAGGUUUUCCUCCCAAAUCCAGCCCUGAUUCAUCUCUAGAUCCCCAGCACUUCACGCGGUAACUUACACAUAGGCGGUAUGACGGAAUUUGGAAUAUUUUGCUCUCCAUUCUUUAGUUCAUCCAGGGUAACAGAAGUGGACAUGGGGCUGCUGAGCUAAGUGUGAGGAAUAUCCCAGCCUUCCUUGCAACAUGGUAUGGCCAAGUGACCAGCUUCUGUUCGACAGGACAGGAGUGGAAAGGACAUGUGCCUUCCCCCUUCUCAUGGUUCCUUUCUUACUGGUUUGAAGGGAAGUGGACCAGUGGCUGGAACAGUCAUCUAGAUUGAAGGACACUGUAUGUUCAGGAAAAAAGAGCAAGACAGAGCAUGUGUCCCGAAGACCACGCAGCUGCCAAGCCAGCCCCACACUGUUUACACAUGGACUCGGAUAUGAAAGAGAAACAAAUUCCUAGGCAGGCUGACCUCGGAGAUACUGCAGGUUUGCUUUCAGAUCACCAUAAUAAAGUGAACACUGAAGCAAAGAGUCAGUCCCAGGAGUUUUUGGGUUUCCCAAUGCAUAAAAAAAUUAGGUUUAUGGAGUUCUCACUGUGGCACAGUGGGUUCAAAAUCCAACUGCAGCCACUUGGGUCGCGACAGAGGCUGGGUUCCCUCCCUGGCCAGGCGCGGGGGGUAAAGGCUCCGGUGUUGCUCCAAAUGCAGCGUAGGUCACAGCUGUGGCUCAGAUUCAAUCCCUGGCCCAGGGAACUUCCAUAUGCCUUGAGUGUGGCCAUUACCAAAAAAAAAAAAAAAACGUUAUGUUUACAGUAGACUCUAGUCUAUUAAGUGUGUAACUGCAUUCUGUUUGACAUUAACACAUAUACACUACUAUACAUAAAAGAGACAAACAACACGGACCUACUAUAUAGCUUAGGGAACUCUACUCAACAAUUUGUAAUAGUCUAUAUGGGAAAAGAAUCUGAAAAAGAAUAUAUUUCUAUAGAUAUAUAUAUAUAUAUAGGUAGAUAUAUAACUGAUUCACUCUGCUGUACACCUGAAACUAAUAGAACAUUGUAAAUAAACUAUACUUCAAUAAAAAUAGCACUGUACCUGAAAAAACAAUGUGCAUACUUUAAUUAAAAAUACUUUAUUGCUGGGAGUUCCCGUCAUGGCUCAGUGGUUAACGAAUCCGACUAGGAACCUUGGGGUUGAGGGUUCGAUCUCUGGCCUCGCUCAGUGGGUUAAGGAUCUGGUGUUGCUGUGAGCUGUGGGGUAGGUCGCAGAUGCGGCUGGGAUCCAGCAUUGCUGUGGCUCUGGUGUAGGCCAGUGACUACAACUCCGAUUAGACCCCUAGCCUGGGAACCUCCAUAUGCCACGAGUGUGGCCCUAGAAAUGGCAAAAAGAACAAAAACAAAAAAAAAAAAA